GAAAAUAGCAAAUUGAUCUAGAACAAGAUGGAGAUGGUAGCAAAAGUGAAACUCUUCAAGGAUGUGGUACUAUGCUGCUGGCAUGAAGUCAUCGUGCUUUCAAAGUAAAAUGAGUUUAACUCGGAACUAAAAUAUUCAUAUGUGGUUGUAGGAAUUUGGUUGAUAGAAUUGUGAUCAUGUAUUCGCGUCAACGCUUAAAUUUUGUUUGUUGGGGGAAACGAUUCAGGGCUGCAGCUAUCCCACUCAAGCAAAUAACUUCGACGACAAACUCGCUAAGUUGGAUCACCUGCACUCACAAUAUCCAAUUAGAGGGGGGCCAGAUGUUUUUCCGACGAAAACCCUUAGACGCUCAAGCCAGUAAUCGAGUCUCUUUUGAAAAAACUCAUGCCACAAAUUCCUGGCUUAAUUACAUCAACUCAAAAUUAGAAAGUUUAAUUUUCUCAAAAAGGAAGAAAAAUAAAUAGAAAGAAUUAUCUAGAGAGAAAAAUGAGAGAGUGUAUAUAAUGAAAUCAAAGAAAAAUUGUCUAACCCGUUUUACCUUUGCUCUCUAAAGCUUUUAUACCCAGUCGGAAUUAUCAGCUUCCUCUCCCCCACGACCAUUGUUGGGUUAGUUACACAAUUG
rnacentral:lncRNA from 1 species